rnacentral:rRNA from 1 species
UACGUAGGGUGCAAGCGUUGUCCGGAAUUAUUGGGCGUAAAGAGCUCGUAGGCGGUUCGUCGCGUCGGCUGUGAAAACCCGGAGCUCAACUCCGGGCCUGCAGUCGAUACGGGCGGACUAGAGUUCGGCAGGGGAGACUGGAAUUCCUGGUGUAGCGGUGAAAUGCGCAGAUAUCAGGAGGAACACCGGUGGCGAAGGCGGGUCUCUGGGCCGAUACUGACGCUGAGGAGCAAAAGCGUGGGGAGCGAACAGG